UACGGAGGGGGCUAGCGUUGUUCGGAAUUACUGGGCGUAAAGCGCACGUAGGCGGCUUUGUAAGUUAGAGGUGAAAGCCCGGGGCUCAACCCCGGAAUUGCCUUUAAGACUGCAUCGCUAGAAUUGUGGAGAGGUAAGUGGAAUUCCGAGUGUAGAGGUGAAAUUCGUAGAUAUUCGGAAGAACACCAGUGGCGAAGGCGACUCGCUGGACAGGUAUUGACGCUGAGGUGCGAAAGCGUGGGGAGCAAACAGG
rnacentral:rRNA from 1 species